CAAGGGAAAAAUGAUGUUCUCUGCAGAUACGAAAUAUGCUUCUUACCUCAUUCUUUCAAAAGGUAAAUGACAACAGAUAGGGUUUUCUUUAUCUAAAUUCAUUAUAAAUGGCCUAUAAUAUGAACGGAGAAGGGGGUGAACUUGAUCCACUACAGCCUAAUUGGUGACUACUGAGAAGUUUACUCGAAUUGAAUAAGUUAGAAAACUAAACCUUGGUACUUUAUGAAAGUGUGGAUAGCCCUCUCCAAUUCUUGCGUUCCUGAAGAUAACCUCAAAAAGCAUAACGGUAGAUUGCAUCAGCUGCUCCAUUUUCAUCGUUGCUGGCACCAAUCACGUCUGCAACAGCUUUUGCCUUCUCUGAUCCAUUGCUAAGAGCAACACCGAGGGAAGCCAACUUAAGCAUCUCCACAUCAUUCUUCUUGAUCAUUUGGGUGUUAGUCCUAAGGAGAUAAUGGC
rnacentral:misc_RNA from 1 species